UACGGAGGGUGCGAGCGUUGUUCGGAAUCACUGGGCGUAAAGCGCGUGUAGGCGGCCUUGUAAGUCUGGUGUGAAAGCCCGGGGCUUACCCCCGGAAGUGCACUGGAAACUGCAAGGCUAGAGUACCGGAGAGGAAGGUGGAAUUCCUGGUGUAGCGGUGAAAUGCGUAGAUAUCAGGAGGAACACCGGUGGCGAAGGCGGCCUUCUGGACAGUGACUGACGCUGAGACGCGAAAGCGUGGGGAGCAAACAGG
rnacentral:rRNA from 1 species